rnacentral:misc_RNA from 1 species
GACAGUGGCAAGGGUGGUAGU